rnacentral:rRNA from 1 species
GCAGUAGCCGCGGUAAUACGGAGGGUGCAAGCGUUAUCCGGAUUUAUUGGGUUUAAAGGGUCCGUAGGCGGACUUAUAAGUCAGUGGUGAAAGCCUGUCGCUUAACGAUAGAACUGCCAUUGAUACUGUAAGUCUUGAGUAUAUUUGAGGUAGCUGGAAUAAGUAGUGUAGCGGUGAAAUGCAUAGAUAUUACUUAGAACACCAAUUGCGAAGGCAGGUUACCAAGAUAUAACUGACGCUGAGGGACGAAAGCGUGGGUAGCAAACAGGAUUAGAUACCCGUGUAGUCCCUGUCUCUUAUAC